rnacentral:rRNA from 1 species
UACGAAUGGAGCAAGAGUUGUUCGGAAUCACAGGGCUUAAAGCGUGCGUCGGCGGACAUGAAAGUCAGAAGUGAAAGCCCCGGGCUCAACCCGGGAACUGCUUUUGAAACUUCAUGUCUAGAGACCUGGAGGGGCUAGCAGAAUUCCGAGUGUAGAGGUGAAAUUCGCAGAUAUUCGGAGGAAUACCAGUGGCGUAGGCGGCUAGCUGGACAGGUACUGACGCUGAGGUACGAAAGCGUGGGGAGCAAACAGG